ensembl:snoRNA
AUCCUUUUGUAGUUCAUGAGCUUAGAUGAUCAAGUGUUCAUGCACGUGUGUGAGAUGUGCCACCCUCGAACAGGCACAUUACCCAUCUGACC